CUCACUUUGAAUUGGUGACACCCGCUGAAAUUGGAAUGACACAAAGACGCUUAGCAUGACCCCUGUGUAACGAUGACUUGACAGAUCUAGGAUUGAUAUUUUCAU